UGCAGGGCAUGCCGGGCCCACAGGGAGAGAAGGGUGAGAACGGAGAUGUCGGCCCCAUGGGCCCCCCUGGGGCUGUGGGGCCACGUGGGGCGCAGGGAUCUGCCGGUGGCGAAGGCCCCCAGGGGAUGCCAGGUGGAACAGGUCAGCCGGGUGCCGUCGGGAACAAGGGGGAGCCGGGCGAGGCGGGAGACCCUGGGGCCCCAGGGGAGCCGGGCCGGC